UACGGAGGGUGCAAGCAUUAAUCGGAUUUAUUGGGCGUAAAGGGCGCGUAGGCGGAAGUGAAAGUCAGAUGUGAAAUCCCGGGGCUCAACCUCGGAACAGCAUUUGAAACUCCUCUUCUAGAGGGUAGGCGGAGAAAACGGAAUUCCACAAGUAGCGGUGAAAUGCGUAGAUAUGUGGAAGAACACCGGUGGCGAAGGCGGUUUUCUAGCUUAUUCCUGACGCUGAGGCGCGAAAGCAAGGGGGAUCAAAACAGGGAAUUAGAGU
rnacentral:rRNA from 1 species